AUUUAAAUACAAAUCUUGUUAAGUUUCAAC
rnacentral:other from 19 species